rnacentral:rRNA from 1 species
CCUACGGGGUGCUGCAGUGGGGAAUAUUGGACAAUGGGCGAAAGCCUGAUCCAGCCAUGCCGCGUGUGUGAAGAAGGCCUUCGGGUUGUAAAGCACUUUCAGUGGGGAAGAAAGCCUUGGGGCUAAUACCCUCGAGGAAGGACAUCACCCACAGAAGAAGCACCGGCUAACUCCGUGCCAGCAGCCGCGGUAAUACGGAGGGUGCGAGCGUUAAUCGGAAUUACUGGGCGUAAAGCGCGCGUAGGCGGUCUGAUAAGCCGGUUGUGAAAGCCCCGGGCUCAACCUGGGAACGGCAUCCGGAACUGUCAGGCUAGAGUGCAGGAGAGGAAGGUAGAAUUCCCGGUGUAGCGGUGAAAUGCGUAGAGAUCGGGAAGAAUACCAGUGGCGAAGGCGGCCUUCUGGACUGACACUGACGCUGAGGUGCGAAAGCGUGGGUAGCAAACAGGAUUAGAUACCCUGGUAGUC